rnacentral:tRNA from 1 species
CAGAGCGCAGCUAAAUUAGUAUAGCAUCCCCCUUACACCGAGAAGACGCCCGUGCAAGUCGAGCCGCCCUGACACCCCACC